UACUCCUGUCCUCUCCAACAU
ensembl:piRNA 21ur-5155 ncRNA